rnacentral:rRNA from 1 species
GUCCACGCCGUAAACUAUCAAUACUCGUUUUCAGCGAUAUACAGUUGGAGACUAAGCGAAAGUGAUAAGUAUUGCACCUGGGGAGUACGAUCGCAAGGUUGAAACUCAAAGGAAUUGACGGGGGCCCGCACAAGCGGUGGAGCAUGUGGUUUAAUUCGAUGAUACGCGAGGAACCUUACCAGGGCUUAAAUGCAGAACGCAUGGUGUGGAAACAUGCCAGUCUUCGGACGGUCUGCAAGGUGCUGCAUGGCUGUCGU